CACAAGUCUUCAGGAAGUAAGAGGCAUUUAUUCACAUUACCGAUCGGGUAAUGAACUCCUGUUCCAACAUUCUGAGAGAGCAACACAUAGUGUACAUUCCUUAUAUAGCACUAUAACUCCUCCCAUUAAUAGCUACACCCACAUAUACCUUUAACCAAUCAAUGAGCAGAAUAUAGACUUGUACAUCUAGUCAAACCACAUGGCUCAUCC